CCAGACUCCUACGGGAGGCAGCAGUGGGGAAUAUUGCACAAUGGGGGAAACCCUGAUGCAGCGACGCCGCGUGAGUGAAGAAGUAAUUCGUUAUGUAAAGCUCUAUCAGCAGGGAAGAAAAUGACGGUACCUGAGUAAGAAGCCCCGGCUAACUACGUGCCAGCAGCCGCGGUAAUACGUAGGGGGCAAGCGUUAUCCGGAUUUACUGGGUGUAAAGGGGGCGCAGACGGCAGCGCAAGCCAGGAGUGAAAGCCCACGGCCCAACCGUGGGACUGCUCUGGAAACUGUGCGGCUUGAGUGCGGGAGGGGCAGGCGGAAUUCCUGGUGUAGCGGUGAAAUGCGUAGAUAUCAGGAGGAACACCGGCGGCGAAGGCGGCCUGCUGGACCGCUACUGACGUUGAGGCUCGAAAGCGUGGGGAGCGAACAGGAUUAGAUACCCGCGUACUG
rnacentral:rRNA from 1 species